rnacentral:rRNA from 1 species
CGAGGUAUAGGUGCUUGCAUCUAUACUUAGUGGCAGACGGGUGAGUAACGCGUGGGAAUGUACCCCUAAGUCUGGAAUAACUAUUGGAAACGAUAGCUAAUACCGGAUAAUAUCGCAAGAUUAAAGGUUUACCGCUUAGGGAGCGGCCCGCGUUAGAUUAGGUAGUUGGUGGGGUAAUGGCCUACCAAGCCUGUGAUCUAUAGCUGGUCUGAGAGGAUGAUCAGCCACACUGGGACUGAGACACGGCCCAGACUCCUACGGGAGGCAGCAGUGGGGAAUUUUGGACAAUGGGCGAAAGCCUGAUCCAGCAAUGCCGCGUGUGCGAAGAAGGCCUUCGGGUUGUAAAGCACUUUUGUCAGGGAAGAAAUCGUUUGGGUUAAUACCCCGAGCAGUUGACGGUACCUGAAGAAUAAGCACCGGCUAACUACGUGCCAGCAGCCGCGGUAAUACGUAGGGUGCAAGCGUUAAUCGGAAUUACUGGGCGUAAAGCGUGCGCAGGUGGUUUGUUAAGACAGUUGUGAAAUCCCCGGGCUUAACCUGGGAACUGCAAUUGUGACUGGCAGACUAGAGUGAGGCAGAGGGGGGCGGAAUUCCUGGUGUAGCAGUGAAAUGCGUAGAUAUCAGGAGGAACACCGAUGGCGAAGGCAGCCCCCUGGGCCAUCACUGACACUCAUGCACGAAAGCGU